rnacentral:rRNA from 1 species
UACGAAGGGUGCUAGCGUUGUUCGGAAUUACUGGGCGUAAAGCGCGCGUAGGCGGCUUUUCAAGUCAGGGGUGAAAUCCCACGGCUCAACCGUGGAAUUGCCUUUGAAACUGUGAAGCCAGAGUGUCGGAGGGGAUAGCGGAAUUGCUAAUGUAGAGGUGAAAUUCGUAGAUAUUAGCAGGAACACCGGUGGCGAAGGCGGCUAUCUGGACGACAACUGACGCUGAGGCGCGAAAGCGUGGGGAUCAAACAGG